rnacentral:rRNA from 1 species
CCUACGGGUGGCUGCAGUGGGGAAUAUUGCACCAUGGGGGGAACCCUGGUGCAGCAAUGCCGCGUGAGUGAAGAAGCACUCCGGUGCGUAAAGCUCUGUCAGCAGGGAAGAAAAUGCCAGUACCUGGACAAGAAGCCCCGGCUAACUACGUGCCAGCAGCCGCGGUAAUACGUAGGGGGCCAGCGUUAUCCGGAUUUACUGGGUGUAAAGGGAACGCAGUCGGCGUGGCAAGGCUGAUGUGAAAACCCGGGGCCCAACCCCCGGAGUGCAUUUGAAACUGCCAGGCUGGAGUGCCGGAGAGGUAAGCGGAAUUCCUAGUGGAGCGGUGAAAUGCGUAGAUAUUAGGAGGAACACCAGUGGCGGAGGCGGCUUACUGGACGGUAACUGACGCUGAGGCUCGAAAGCGUGGGGAGCAAACAGGAUUAGAUACCCUAGUAGUC